UGGGGAAUUUUGGACAAUGGGGGCAACCCUGAUCCAGCCAUGCCGCGUGAGUGAAGAAGGCCUUCGGGUUGUAAAGCUCUUUCGUUGGGGAAGAAAUCGCAUGGGUGAAUAAUCUGUGCGGAUGACGGUACCUGAAGAAGAAGCACCGGCUAACUACGUGCCAGCAGCCGCGGUAAUACGUAGGGUGCGAGCGUUAAUCGGAAUUACUGGGCGUAAAGGGUGCGCAGGCGGUUCUGUAAGAUAGGCGUGAAAUCCCCGGGCUUAACCUGGGCAUUGCGUUUGUGACUGCAGGACUGGAGUACAGCAGAGGGGGGUGGAAUUCCACGUGUAGCAGUGAAAUGCGUAGAGAUGUGGAGGAACACCGAUGGCGAAGGCAGCCCCCUGGGUUGAUACUGACGCUCAAGCACGAAAGCGUGGGGAGCAAACAGGAUUAGAUACCCUGGUAGUCCACGCCCUAAACGAUGUCGACUGGUUGUUGGCGGGGUAAAACCUGUUAGUAACGAAGCUAACGCGUGAAGUCGACCGCCU
rnacentral:rRNA from 1 species